UGGAAAGGAAUGUUCAGGUUAAGGUAAAGG
rnacentral:piRNA from 2 species